rnacentral:ncRNA from 1 species
GAUUUAAAACUCAUGUAAAGAUUUUUCGUUAACUUUUAUUUUAUUAAAUAUUUCUGGAAAAGACCUGUUUUGUACCGAGUCAUUUUGGGGAUACAUUUUACUGGUUGCUCUUUUCACCAUGGCCAUAAUCAAGAGAAAGGGGUGUAGGAAAAACAAACAAACAAAAAAACCCAUUCCGAGUAGUUGGGCCCCCGCGGUGAGCCUUGAAGCCUAGUGCGCAGGCCCGGGUGGAGCAGCCGCAGGUGCAGAUCUUGGUGGUAGUAGCAAAAAUUCAAAGGAGGACUUGGAAACCUGAAGUGGAGAAGGGUUCCAUGUGAACAGCAGUUUAACAUGGGUCAGUCUGUCUUGAGAGAUGGGUGAACGUCGUUCCGAAGGGUCGGGCGAUGGCCGCCAUUGCCCUCAGCCAAUCGAAAGGGAGUUGGGUUCAGAUCCCCGAGUCCGGAGUGGUGGAGACGGGCGCCGCGAGGCGUCCAGUGCGGUAACGCAACCGUCCCAGAGAAGCCAGCGGGCGCUCCAGGGAGAGUUCUCUUUUCUUUGUGAAGGGCAGGGCUCCGUGGAAUUGGUUCGCCCCGAGAGAGGGUCCUGUGCCUUGGAAAGCGUCGCGGUUCCGCGGGCGUCUGGUGAGCUCUCGCUGACCCUGGAAAAUCCGGUGGAGAGGGUGUAAAUAUGGGCUGUACCCUUUCGCAGCAGGUCUCCAAGGUGAACAGCCUCUGGCUUGUUGGAACAAUGUAGGCAAGGGAAGUCGGCAAGCAGGAUCCGAAACU